AUACGGAGGGUGCAAGCGUUGUCCGGAUUUAUUGGGUUUAAAGGGUGUGUAGGCGGUGUAUUAAGUCAGUGGUGAAAGCCUGCGGCUCAACCGUAGAACUGCGAUUGAUACUGACACACUUGAGUAUGGACGAGGUAGGCGGAAUUUAUGGUGUAGCGGUGAAAUGCAUAGAUACCAUAAAGAACACCGAUAGCGAAGGCAGCUUACUAGGCCAUAACUGACGCUGAGGCACGAAAGCGUGGGGAGCGAACAGGAUUAGAAACCCCAGUAGUCC
rnacentral:rRNA from 1 species